rnacentral:piRNA from 1 species
UACGAUAGGUAAGGACACCUGCCCUGUUGU